rnacentral:lncRNA from 1 species
GGUGGGGGUUUUAUUCCUGUUAUGAUUCCUUGUUCCGUGUUCCAUGUUUUAUUACGAAUCUGUGUGCUUACCUCUGCUUUCCUCUGUUUUAUAUUACUUAUGGGUGCCGUGUUUAUGUUAUGUAAUCUGCUUCUGUGCUUUACUAUGUGUUUGUGUGGUAUCUCGUGCCUUGAGCCGGGGGUCUAUCGGAAACAGCCUUUCUACUUCACCAGAGGUAGAGGUAUGGUCUGUGUACAUCUUACCCCCCCAG